CCUACGGGACGCAGCAGUAGGGAAUAUUGCUCAAUGGGGGAAACCCUGAAGCAGCGACGCCGCGUGAGGGAUGAAGGUUUUCGGAUUGUAAACUCCUAUUGUUAGGGAAGAUAAUGACGGUAUCUAACGAAUAAGCACCGGCUAACUCCGUGCCAGCAGCCGCGGUAAUACGGAGGGUGCAAGCGUUACUCGGAUUCACUGGGCGUAAAGAGCGCGUAGGCGGGAUAGCAAGUCAGAUGUGAAAUCCUAUGGCUUAACCAUAGAACUGCAUUUGAAACUGUUAUGCUAGAGUAUGGGAGAGGUAGGUGGAAUUCUUGGUGUAGGGGUAAAAUGCGUAGAGAUCAAGAGGAAUACUCAUUGCGAAGGCGACCUGCUAGAACAUAACUGACGCUGAUGCGCGAAAGCGUGGGGAGCAAACAGGAUUAGAUACCCCAGUAGUC
rnacentral:rRNA from 1 species